rnacentral:rRNA from 1 species
GAUGAACGCUGGCGGCGUGCUUAACACAUGCAAGUCGAACGGACAAGAUGAAGCCUAGCGAUUCUUGUUAGUGGCGGACGGGUGAGUAACGCGUGGGUAACCUGCCUCAUACUGGGGGAUAACAGUUAGAAAUGACUGCUAAUACCGCAUAAGUGCACAGUUUCGCAUGAAACAGUGUAAAAAACUCCGGUGGUAUGAGAUGGACCCGCGUCUGAUUAGCUAGUUGGUGGGGUAACGGCCUACCAAGGCGACGAUCAGUAGCCGGCCUGAGAGGGUGAACGGCCACAUUGGGACUGAGACACGGCCCAA